ensembl:rRNA 5S_rRNA 5S ribosomal RNA
GUCUACGGCUAUACCACCCUGAACAUGCCAGAUCUCAUCUGAUCUCAGAAGCUAAGCAGGGUCGGACCUGGUUAGUACUUGGAUGGGAGAAUAGCAUGCUUGUGAGGCU